AUUUACAUUGAUACUCGCACUCGUAAAGAUGGAACAACUGUCAAUGAAAAGGCUGCAAGAUUGAUUGUUCCUGAUGCUACUAGUGCUCAAAACCAUUUGAAUUCACUUAGUCCAAACAACAACGAAAAUAAUGAAAAUGGUGAAGAUUAAAAGCUAAUUUGUUGUUGAAGAUGGC